rnacentral:rRNA from 1 species
AUUGAACGCUGGCGGCAGGCCUAACACAUGCAAAUCGAAAGAGUGGCGGACGGGUGAGUAAUGUCUGGGAAACUGCCUGAUGGAGGGGGAUAACUACUGGAAACGGUAGCUAAUACCGCAUACCCUCAGAUGUGCCCAGAUGGGAUUGGCUUGUUGGUGGGGUAAAGGCUCACAAAGGCGACGAUCACUAGCGGGUCUGAGAGGAUGACCAGCCACACUGGAACUGAGACACAGUCCAGACUCCUAAGGGAGGCAGCAGGGGUGAAUAUUGCACAAGGGGGGCAAGCCUGAUGCAGCCAUGCCGCGGGUAUGAAGAAGGCCUUCGGGUUGUAAAGUACGUUCAGCGGGGAGGCGUUACCCGCAGAAGAAGCACCGGCUAACUCCGUGCCAGCAGCCGCGGUAAUUC